UACCAGCACCCCGAGUGGUCGGGACGAUUAUUGGGCCUAAAGCAUCCGUAGCCGGCCUUACAAGUCCUCCGUUAAAUCCAGCUGCUUAACAGAUGGGCUGCGGAGGAUACUAUAAGACUAGGAGGCAGGAGAGGCAAGCGGUACUCAGUGGGUAGGGGUAAAAUCCGUUGAUCCAUUGAAGACCACCAGUGGCGAAGGCGGCUUGCCAGAAUGCGCUCGACGGUGAGGGAUGAAAGUUGGGGGAGCAAACCGG
rnacentral:rRNA from 1 species